rnacentral:lncRNA from 1 species
UUACAGAGAGAGAGAAAGGAAGAGCUGGUAAAUCAAUCUCCAGAAGUAAUUAAAAGCCGGAAAAAAGAAACCAUUCCACAGUUCAUGAUGGAGACCUUGAAAACUAGCAGUCAAUUUUGAUUCUGUUUAGCCAAUUAUCGUCGAAAUAUACAGGAUCUCUGCAAGUAAAGAGAAGCUGGAUUAAGAUCAUGCAGCCUCACACUUACAAAAGCACCCAGUGCCAUCGUUUAAGUGAUCCAUACAAACAUGUGUGCCACAUACCAGCCAUCAAAUGACCCACCAGGAAAUUCUCCAACCAACCAACCAGCCAGCCAGCCAACCAACCAACCAACCAACCAGCCAGCCAGCCAACCAACCAACAAGCAAGCAAGCAAGCCUACUUAAACUUCCCAAACUCAGCAUGAGUAUCACUGUAAAGGAGAAAUCGUGGUAGACAUUGGCUGACUUCUCAUCGUAUUAGUCACAGAUGACGGCCUAAGACGAUGGUCCCUCAGUGCCUCCACCAGUGAUAACUGACUCAAGAAUAAAAUAGGCAAGGACAGUGUGG